rnacentral:rRNA from 1 species
GACGAACCACACGAACGUUAUUCGGAAUUACUGGGCUUAAAGGGUGCGUAGGCUGUGCAGAAAGUUAGGUGUGAAAUCCCCCGGCUCAACCGGGGAAUUGCGCUUAAACUACUGUGCUAGAGGAAUACAGAGGUAAGCGGAACUUCGGGUGGAGCGGUGAAAUGCGUUGAUAUCCGAAGGAACACCGGUGGCGAAAGCGGCUUACUGGGUAUUUUCUGACGCUGAUGCACGAAAGCUAGGGGAGCAAACGGGAGUUAGAAACCCCUGU